rnacentral:rRNA from 1 species
UGCCUCAGUAACGGCGAGUGAAGCGGCAAAAGCUCAAAUUUUAAAGCUGGCACCUUCGGUGUCCGCGUUGUAAUUUUGUGAGGCAUCUCCGGGUAGGGCGCCGGCCUAAGUUCCUUGGAACAGGACGUCAUAGAGGGUGAGAAUCCCGUGCUUGGCUGGCUGUCCCCGUCCAUGUGAGGUGUCUUCGACGAGUCGAGUUGUUUGGGAAUGCAGCUCAAAAUGGGUGGUAAAUUUCAUCUAAAGCUAAAUAUUGGUGGGAGACCGAUAGCGCACAAGUAGAGUGAUCGAAAGAUGAAAAGCACUUUGAAAAUAGAGUUAAAAAGUACGUGAAAUUGUUGAAAGGGAAGCGCUUGAGACCAGACUUCGGUGGGGGGUGAUCAGCUGUCCUUCUGGGCGGUGCACUUGCUCCCCUCCGGGCCAGCAUCGGUUGGGGCGGCGGGAUAAAGAUCCCGGGAAUGUGGCUCCUUUCGGGGAGUGUUAUAGCCCGGGUGAAUGCCGCCAGCUCCGACCGAGGACCGCGCCUUCGGGCUAGGAUGCUUGGCAUAAUGGUCUUCAGCGACCCGUCUUGAAACACGGACCAAGGAGUCUAACAUCUAUGCGAGUGUUUGGGGUGUCAAACCCUUACGCGAAAUGAAAGUGAACGGAGGUGGGAACCCGCAAGGGCGCACCAUCGACCGGUCCUGAAGUCUUCUGAAGGAUCUGAGUAGGAGCAUAGCUGUUGGGACCCGAAAGAUGGUGAACUAUGCC